rnacentral:tRNA from 1 species
AAAAAGAUAAGCUAAGAUAAGCUAAUAGGUUCAUACCCUUUUUAUAAAGAUUAUAUCUUUUCUUUUUA